rnacentral:rRNA from 1 species
GAUGAGCAUGCGUCCCAUUAGCUAGUUGGUAAGGUAACGGCUUACCAAGGCUACGAUGGGUAGGGGUCCUGAGAGGGAGAUCCCCCACACUGGUACUGAGACACGGACCAGACUCCUACGGGAGGCAGCAGUGAGGAAUAUUGGACAAUGGGCGCAAGCCUGAUCCAGCCAUGCCGCGUGCAGGAUGACGGUCCUAUGNNUUGUAAACUGCUUUUAUACGAGAAGAAACACUCCAACGUGUUGGAGCUUGACGGUAUCGUAGGAAUAAGGAUCGGCUAACUCCGUGCCAGCAGCCGCGGUAAUACGGAGGAUCCAAGCGUUAUCCGGAAUCAUUGGGUUUAAAGGGUCCGUAGGCGGUUUAGUAAGUCAGUGGUGAAAGCCCAUCGCUCAACGGUGGAACGGCCAUUGAUACUGCUAAACUUGAAUUAUUAGGAAGUAACUAGAAUAUGUAGUGUAGCGGUGAAAUGCUUAGAGAUUACAUGGAAUACCAAUUGCGAANGCAGGUUACUACUAAC